rnacentral:rRNA from 1 species
AUUAAAACUUUCAACAACGGAUCUCUUGGCUCUGGCAUCGAUGAAGAACGCAGCGAAACGCGAUAAGUAAUGUGAAUUGCAGAAUCCAGUGAAUCAUCGAAUCUUUGAACGCACAUUGCGCCCGCCAGCAUUCUGGCGGGCAUGCCUGUUCGAGCGUCA